rnacentral:hammerhead_ribozyme from 1 species
GUUCAUCUGAUGAGUCCCAAAUGGGACUGAAUGCGCAUCAUGAAU